UGGGGAAUAUUGCACAAUGGGGGAAACCCUGAUGCAGCGACGCCGCGUGAGCGAUGAAGUAUUUCGGUAUGUAAAGCUCUAUCAGCAGGAAGAAAUGACAGGUACCGUGACUAAGAAGCCCAGGCCUGAACUAACGUGCCAGCCAGCCGCGGGUAAUACGUAGGGGGCAAGCGUUAUCCGGAUUUACUGGGUGUAAAGGGAGCGUAGACGGCGGUACAAGCCAGAUGUGAAAGCCCGGGGCUCAACCCCGGGACUGCAUUUGGAACUGUAGUGCUGGAGUGUCGGAGAGGCAGGCGGAAUUCCUAGUGUAGCGGUGAAAUGCGUAGAUAUUAGGAGGAACACCAGUGGCGAAGGCGGCCUGCUGGACGAUGACUGACGUUGAGGCUCGAAAGCGUGGGGAGCAAACAGGAUUAGAUACCC
rnacentral:rRNA from 1 species